GCCAGGUGGAGCCCCGCCCGGCCCCGCCCUCCACGGCGAUUGGCCGGCGCCCCGCCCCUGCGCGCUCCCAUUGGCGGAGGGAGUCGCCGCUCCCGCUGAGUGAUUCACCGUCGCCAGGUGCAACCUCGGCCCCCGGCUCCCCGCCCCCCGGCGCUUGGCGCCUUUCCAAGCAGGAGCCGCCUCCGAUUGGCCCGCGGGCCCGUCGCGUCCGGGGACCAGUGCGCACCUUCUGCAGCGUCACAAGCUUCGAGAGGGGGCGCGCAGAGAGGAGGAAAGGGAAGGGAGCCCUCAACUCCAAGGCGGGAAAAGCAGAAUUACCUUCUCUCAAGAACUUUAAACAUCCGAUGGGGACACCCACACCCGGAUAGUACAAGCUGACCGACAGACAGAUGCUCUACAGACAUCACCGUGAGAGCCAGGAUUUGCCCUUUACGCACGUCCGAUGUGUCAGCGAAACGCUACGUUUCAAAAUUGUUUAUCCUCUCCCUGUGACUCACAGUCGGGUGCUGACUAAGCCCCUCUUGCUAUAGACUAUGUUAACACUCGAGCUUUCUGUUAAUGUUUACAUUGUUGUGUCAUUUUCUUUUAAUUGAAACUCACGCUCACCACCUUUA